rnacentral:lncRNA from 1 species
AUUCAUAAGUGCAUGAAGAAGACUCCUAGAGAGCUACUUAAGAAAGCAAAUUCAGGUUACUUUGUUUUCCAGUAUCAUGUACCAUGAUGGCAGGGUGAAAGAAGGGAUUGGGAGACUUUGGAGAGGUUCCAAUUUAGGUUGUUGAACUAGUGAUCUUGAUGGAUUUGGUUCAGAUUAUUUUCCGAGUCUCAACUUCUCAGGCAUCUGGUUUGUGCAUUAGUUGAACAUCAUUGUUUCCAGAAAUUGUCAGACACAUGACAAUUGGCAAGUCCUAAAUAUUGGAUAUGUGAUGCUUUUGUCAUGUCGGAGGCCAGGUUAGUCAAGCUAUCAACACAACCAAGGUAUUUGCUUGCUGUCAAAAGUUGGGUGCCAAUGUUGAGCAUUCAGGAGCUUGAUUUGGGUGGCUCUCUAACUUACCUUCUCAAGGAAAUUGAGAGAGAGCUUACAGCAUGGGAAGUUUUCAAUAGUUUUAAAAAAAGGGAACUGAUAGACUGGACAAAUCACAAAACAAAACUCCUAGGAAGAUUUGAACUUCAUAUACUCAUUGUACGUCAUUGCUGGUUUCCCAUAGAUGGAGAUUCUUAUGCCUAGCAAGUAGUAGAAUUUGAGGUUUAUUAUCUUGGAAGCUACAAGCAAUGGGUAAGUUGUUGUUUUUUAAUGUUUACAUUUUUUCCUUUUAUGUAAAUACUUCAAUUUGAUUUAUUCUCAGAUUGCUUGAAAUCAAAUGAGGCUGCUGUAUAAUACUGCAGAGAUAUGAAUGCAAUGAUAUGUUACUGAUACAAAUAUUGUCGAAAUUUGUUAUAUUAGUAUUUCAUGAGCAAGUGAAAAACUUGAAGGGAUCUGUCAAGACCAAGGUUAAUUUGAAGAAGUUUAAUGAUCAAGGCAUGUUCUACUAAUUAUGUCUACUGAUCUUUAAGGGUAAUGAGAAUGGAAACAGAGGCAGCAACCACAAAAUUUUUUCAGCCUUAUAACACCUGCUUUGAAAUUCUAGGAUGAGAUGUUGCCAUGGUGAUGUUACCACUUCUCUAAUCCUCCCGCUCUUGAACUUCCAUUGCAACCUGGGAGGACAGAAAAAUAUAUUUGGAUCCGAACAUCUGAAGACUCCUUUUCCGUAUCUUUCUUUAAUUUUUUGCUUGUUUCUUACUUGCUUCUUGCCACUUAUGGGCCAUGCAUAAUAUAAUACAUAACCAUAGUACGGCUGUAUUGUUGUUAAAGUGACCUUUGUGUUAUUAUUUAUCAGCCUCUAAACAAUCAAAGCAUUCAACCAUUUCAUAAUUCACAUGCAUUUAUUAUGCAAAAGACUUCGUGGCAGGCCUUAGUUUCAACUUCCUUGAGUAGAUAUCACCUUUAAUUUAUGCAUUAACUAAUGAACUACACUUUAUCUUGUUCCAAUUAUUAUCAUCAAGUUCUCAUCCUAGUUCUGAACAUAUGGCACGGCUGAGUUCUCAUAGGUUAAUUCAGUAACUGUAGCUUGGGUUCCAAGGAUGCCAUGCCCAUCUGUUCUUUUCACAGGAUUCCUGAUGAUGACAAAACCUGAAAACGACACCAAAUUAUUGACACAACUAAUUACUUGUGCCAGGUUGAGAAACAUCUUGGUCCAAAAUAAUAAUUGGAUGAGCUGGAACAUCAAUGAAGUUGGGCCAUAUUAACUGUUUAUCAAGCAUUGAAGUGAACCUGGAACUUCAAGAAAAGGGGAAAAACAUCUAUUUAUGCUGAUAAUCAGGAGGUAUAUUCCAUUUAAUGAGAUGUUAUCCUUACUAAUUAUACUGUGUCUCUCUCUGUAGUUGCUCGCCUUUUUUAUGUGUUUUAAUUUCUCUUGUCUUUGUUAUGAUCCAGAUCUGAUCAAAAGAAUGAGAGACCUGAGAACUAAGGGUUCGUCUGGUUCGCGGGAA